CAUGUGGUUUAAUUCGAAGCAACGCGAAGAACCUUUACCAGGUCUUGACAUCCCGAUGCUAUUUCUAGAGAUAGAAAGUUACUUCGGUACAUCGGUGACAGGUGGUGCAUGGUUGUCGUCAGCUCGUGUCGUGAGAUGUUGGGUUAAGUCCCGCAACGAGCGCAACCCCUAUUGUUAGUUGCCAUCAUUCAGUUGGGCACUCUAGCGAGACUGCCGGUAAUAAGCCGGAGGAAGGCGAGGAUGACGUCAAGUCAGCAUGGCCUUUAUGUCCUGGGCUACACACACGCUACAAUGGUCGGUACAACAGGUUGCCAAGCCGCGAGGCGGGGCCAAUCCCUAAAGCCGGCCUCAGUUCAGAUUGUAGGCUGCAACUCGCCUGCAUGAAGCUGGAGUUGCUAGUAACCGCAGGUCAGCUAUACUGCGGUGAAUACGUUCCCGGGUCUU
rnacentral:rRNA from 1 species